UACGAAGGGGGGCUAGCGUUGCUCGGAAUCACUGGGCGUAAAGCGCACGUAGGCGGAUUGCUAAGUCAGGGGUGAAAUCCUGGAGCUCAACUCCAGAACUGCCCUUGAUACUGGCGAUCUUGAGUCCGGGAGAGGUGAGUGGAACUGCGAGUGUAGAGGUGAAAAUUUCGUAGAUAUUCGCAAGAACACCAGUGGCGAAGGCGGCUCACUGGCCCCGGUACUGGAACGCUGAGGUGG
rnacentral:rRNA from 1 species